CAAUGCACUCAUCAUCUCAGAAACCCUCCUGCUAAACCCUGGGUCCGGCUGCCCCUGCACCCUUGGCAGGCCAUGCUCCAUCUCAAUGCCAGCUCUCUCUGCAGCUCCUCAUCGGCAGCACCUCCCGACCGGUUGGCAACAAUUGCAAAAUGAAAAUGUCUCCUGAAGUGUUUUUCAGUUUUGCCACAAAAACGUUACAGAGCCAAGAGCCAGAAGCUUCUCCUGCAGCCCAGUCUGUGCUCGGUGACCCGGAUGGGACCUAGGCAUGGCCCUGUUUAGCAGUGCUGGGAGCCCCAGCGAUGGUAUCUCUCAUACGUGGUGUGGUCCCUGCCUGUCUCUGUCCCCAGUGUUCUGGAGGGGAAAGGUAGCCCGGUGGAUCUACAGCUGACCUCAGAGAUCCCAGAUCCGGCCUCUGUAUAAUUAGUCAGGAGGCCACAUAUGGGACGUGCUAGAGCAGACGAGGGAUGAAGGUGAGCAAGGAAGAGGAUGAACUCUCCACGGAAUUGAAGAAGAUCCAAAGGCAGCGGACAAGGGUCAGGGAGAAAAUAGGCCUGAAACGCUGUUGUUCAGAGGCUGUCAGUCACCUGUUAGACUGACGGUGAAAGGAAGGCGGGAUCAUUUCCAGAUGCAUGGGGUUGUAUUUUUUUCUCCUUGUGCUAUAUUGUUGUAUUGCCUUUGUUAUCCAUUUUGAUCCUUCUCUUCUGAAAAUGUUCACCCCACUCUGUACUGUAUACAAUGGCUGCAUGUGCUUCCAGCACCCCAAAAUCUCCAGUGCAUUCUAUGCGGAUAAAGUUGGUAAAAUAAAAGCCAUUCGCU